ACGGGUGAGUAAUGUCUGGGAAACUGCCUGAUGGAGGGGGAUAACUACUGGAAACGGUAGCUAAUACCGCAUAACGUCGCAAGACCAAAGAGGGGGACCUUCGGGCCUCUUGCCAUCAGAUGUGCCCAGAUGGGAUUAGCUAGUAGGUGGGGUAACGGCUCACCUAGGCGACGAUCCCUAGCUGGUCUGAGAGGAUGACCAGCCACACUGGAACUGAGACACGGUCCAGACUCCUACGGGAGGCAGCAGUGGGGAAUAUUGCACAAUGGGCGCAAGCCUGAUGCAGCCAUGCCGCGUGUAUGAAGAAGGCCUUCGGGUUGUAAAGUACUUUCAGCGAGGAGGAAGGCAUUGUGGUUAAUAACCACAGUGAUUGACGUUACUCGCAGAAGAAGCACCGGCUAACUCCGUGCCAGCAGCCGCGGUAAUACGGAGGGUGCAAGCGUUAAUCGGAAUUACUGGGCGUAAAGCGCACGCAGGCGGUCUGUCAAGUCGGAUGUGAAAUCCCCGGGCUCAACCUGGGAACUGCAUUCGAAACUGGCAGGCUAGAGUCUUGUAGAGGGGGGUAGAAUUCCAGGUGUAGCG
rnacentral:rRNA from 1 species